GAACGGCCGCCGGGAGCCGCGUGCGCGCGCGCGCGCGCGUCCCAUUCGGCGCGAGCGGCCGCCGUCAGGCUCAGGAAGAUGUGUGGCAAGGUCGAGCAGCAGAGACAGACUUGAGAACUUGGAUCACUUGGGUGACACGGUGGCAUAGUAGUCAGCACAGCAGUUUACAGUACAGGAGACCCGGGUUCAGUUCCCGACCACUGCAGAUAUGGUCAAAAUGACAAUAAAAGGUGACUUGACUUGACUUGCUGGGCGGUGCGGCUCGAAAGGCCGGAAGGGCCUACUUCGCACGGUAUUUCAAUGAAUGAGAUCGUUACUCGCUCUGGACACGCUCCAGAGGAAAGAGAAAAGACGAGGAAGGAGGCGGCAGAGUCUACGCUGAAGAUAUGCCCACCAAGAACAGAGAUAGGAAACUGCAGUUGUGGCCUCGUCCUAAAGUAGAGGAAUGCAAAGAUCUCAGGGGGUUCCAAGGCUGGAAGACACGAGAGAGAGAGAGAUUCUUUUGUAGACCCUGACCUGAAGUCACAAGCUGACUCCGGUUCUUUGCGGGAAUGGGACCCACUCUUAGGAUUUCACAACUGGCCGAUGUUAGGCACGCCAAGGGCUCGGCCUAAGAGCCCGGCUUGGAUUUGGAAGCUGAGGAUCCUGAGGAUCUGGAGACAGGCAGAUUGAGGGUUGGUGUCAUGGCAGGAUACCUGUGUGUCGUCGGAGGAGUGCGGAUAUCUACGGCUGUGUGCCUGGAGAGCCGGGAUCUUUGAGAUCUUCUGGCACAGAGCUUGAAAAAAACGACAUAAUAGACUUUUAACAUCGUAAACCAGCAAGUUGUUUGUUAUGUCAUCCGGCUCACUGUGAAACAGAGACAUCUCUUUCUCCCUUGUUAGCGAGAGAGAGAGAGCCUGUGGUAUGUCGAAUACCGGGUGAAACGUGAAGUCUUUGGAGUACUGCAAGUCUGUGUCUUUGCUGUUGCUUUGCUGCACACUUGAGUGCUUGGGGGCAAGU